UACGUAGGGUGCGAGCGUUAAUCGGAAUUACUGGGCGUAAAGUGUGCGCAGGUGGCCGCGCAAGUCGAGUGUGAAAUCCCCGGGCUUAACCUGGGAACUGCGCUUGUAACUGAGAGGCUAGAGUGUGGCAGAGGGGGGUGGAAUUCCACGUGUAGCAGUGAAAUGCGUAGAGAUGUGGAGGAACACCGAUGGCGAAGGCAGCCCCCUGGGCUAACACUGACGCUCAUGCACGAAAGCGUGGGGAGCAAACAGG
rnacentral:rRNA from 1 species